AGAGUUUGAUCAUGGCUCAGGAUGAACGCUGGCGGCGUGCCUAACACAUGCAAGUCGAACGUGAAGGUUUAGCAAUAAACUGGAAAGUGGCGAACGGGUGAGUAACACGUGGGUGACCUGCCGCGCAGAGGGGGAUAACCAUUGGAAACGAUGGCUAAUACCGCAUGGUACCAACGAGAUGGGAAUCUGGUUGGUUAAAACCUUGGUGCUGCGCGAGGGGCCUGCGUCCGAUUAGUUAGUUGGUGGGGUAACGGCCUACCAAGGCGAUGAUCGGUAGCUAGUCUGAGAGGAUGAUUAGCCACACGGGAACUGAGACACGGUCCCGACUCCUACGGGGGGCAGCAGUGAGGAAUAUUGCACAAUGGACGCAAGUCUGAUGCAGCAACGCGCGUGGAGGAUGAAUGGUCUUUUGAUUCGUAAACUCCUUUUCUCAGGGAAGAGAAUGGACGGUACCUGAGGAAUAAGUUCACGGCUAACUACGUGCCAGCAUGCCGCGGUAAUACGUAGGUUGGCGAGCGUUAUCCGGAAUUACUGGGCGUAAAGCGCACGCAGGCGGUCUUUUAAGUUUGACGUGAAAGCUCCCGGCUUAACUGGGAGAGGUCGUUGAAAACUGGGAGACUUAGCAAUGAGAGGGGUGGAGAUUCCUGGUAGUGUGGAAUCGUAGAUAUCAGGAGGAAUACAUGCGAAC
rnacentral:rRNA from 1 species